GACCCAUCUCUCCCGUUUUGGGGGGCCACCAAGGUGUGUGUGGGGGGGUGGGGGACACUCACCCCUUCGUUGCCAACCCAGCUCUCGACUUUGCAUCUGCAGACUGGGCACAGGCCCUGCUGGACCCCCAUCCCCAACUGCUGGGACCCCCCCAAAUCCCCUUUUUAUCCACCACAAUAAACCCCCCAUGCUCCUCAUCCUUAGCCGGGGGGGUGCUGUGCAUCCUUUCCGCCCGCUGUUUUUAACGUGCUUACUACACGUUUUCAGGCUGUUUUUGGAGCUAUAUUUAAAGCAUGCAGUCAGUGGCUGGAUUUAGAAAUCCAGGCAUAAAUCACAUUAAAACGCGGACGGCGACGAUCCCAACGCGUCGGCAAAGCUUUGCCCUGAUUUCAUUCCUUCCCCCCCCCCACCUCAAAAUCAGAACCCAGUCUGACAGCAAGGUCCCAUCCCCCCCCAAAUAAAACCCUGUAAGGACAGAGGUGGGAUUUGAAGGCAAGGGGGGCCCUGCUGGGGUUUAUUUCAAUGCAUCCUUAGCGAUUUAUUUAUCGAUGGGGGGGCUUGGAUAAUUCCAGAGCCUGGGGUCUCUCCCCAGCCCAGCCCCUGUGCCUGCAAUGAAGGAGCUGCCAUCCGUGGGGAGGGGGCUGUGGAGUGGGGGGGUCCCAAUGAGGAGAUCCCCAGGGAAACCGUUUGGGAACUGAGCAAAGAAUUUCUGAUUAAUGACCAGAACAGCUCGGGAUUUCGGUUUUCUCCAUAAAUCCUGGCUGAUUAUAACCCUUGUGCUCAGCCUGUCAGCAGGCUUUGCGUGGAGGGGGGAGCCCAAGAAAUAACCCCCAGCAGGGCUGUAGCCAGUGCCUGGCAGCAGCUGGAGGCUGCAGCAUCCUCAGCAUCCCAGCCGGAGCAGGGAAGAAGGGAGAGGGGCUGGGGGUGCACAGAGCUGUGGUUGGUGCCCUCCCCCCAGCUCACAGCACUUCUGAUCCCCCAACUCUGGGGUUUGUAAAGACAAACACGUCCCAGAUCAGGCCGGUUUAGAAUCCAAAUACAGACUGGUGGGGUUUUUUCCUUGCCUGGCACAGGAGGGUGGGUAUUUAUGAACAAUCCCACCCUGUUUUCCUGCUCUGCCACCUGUGCAUUCCCUUCCACCCCAAAUCCCAAGCUGGGACCUCCAAUGUCAGGACCUGCCCAACGCUGGGUGUCCUUUGCUUUCCACAACCUCCACCAAACCCCUGUACUGGGCUUUUUUCACAGCUGGCUCUUGGAUACAUCAGGCUGGAUUUUUUUUUUUUUUUUCCCUUUUACCCAAUAAUAAGCUUUUUUCAUCCAAGAUCAGGGGGAAAAAAAUAGGCAGGGAGGAGGGCUGACACACACAACCCAUAGAGGGCUUUGAGAGGAGCACCAGCCCCAAAGCUGUAAUUACUGCCUGCGUUUUUUUGGCUACGGAUCAGCUGCUAAAUUGGUUGUAAGGCACGGAAACGGCAGUUACACCUUUCAGCGGAAAAAAUGUGGUUUAGUGGAGAAACGUGCAUGGGAAACCUUCUCAAAACUGCAGUCCCCAUACAACACCCCGCUAUUACAGGUCCUGCAUUUGGGAGUUUAAAACAAUCCUCCAUCCAGGUGAGCUGAGCUCAGAAUGACAAGACCUUCUGCAUCAACAGAGUAAAUUGGGGAUUUUUCCCUUGAUCUGUCAGUUAAAUCAAAAAUACCCUCCUGGAUGCAGGACACGAGCAAGAGAGAGGCAGGAGCAUGUGUUAUUUUGAGGUUUGAUAUAAAAUAGGUACCCUUGGCUUCAGCAGUUCUCCGUAGCCCAGCCCACUGGAGCUGCAGGUACUUUCAUAUGCAUACAAAACAUUCUAAAAUGGAAAAUAUUCACAGCUGCUCUCGCUGUUUUGACAGGGGGGAAGGAAUCGUGGGGCAUGUUAAGGAGAUAUUAAAAGCUGUGGUUUGAAGCUCCUAAAGCAUUUACUCAGCGGGAGAGCCAGAGAAAGAAGUUUAGAAGUUAACUGCAUACUUGUGUGCCUUUGCUCUGUCCUUCUUAAAAUUCACCUCUCCUAUCUGCUUCUAAUUUAAACAAGCAGAGCCCUCCAGGAACUGGAAAAUCCAGAUUUGCAGCAUCUCCCAGGGAAAGAUGAUUUCCUACGUGCCCCCCCAGCGCGAGGGUCCUGCUGAAGGUUAAACUCAGACAGAGAUGGGUUUCACCACCUCUGCCAGCACUGAAUGCUCAUCCCCACACCGUGCCCUGGCCUGCUGCAGCUUCCCUGCCUGAAAACCGGGUAAACCCAUCCGCCUCCCCGGGGUACAUUACCGUGGCUUAAAAUUAACACUCACAAAUGUUAUUUUCAAAUCCCUUCAUGAAAGGCAUGAGAAGCGCUGGGUGUUAGCAGAAUAGAUCCUUCACCUUUUAACAGCUGUUAAUUGCCAUUAAAACCAAACCUGCACAGUUUUAUUGGA